rnacentral:rRNA from 1 species
GACGAACGCUGGCGGCGUGCUUAACACAUGCAAGUCGAACGGAAAGGCCCCUUUGGGGGUACUCGAGUGGCGAACGGGUGAGUAACACGUGAGUAACCUGCCCUUGACUUCGGGAUAACUUCAGGAAACUGGGGCUAAUACCGGAUAGGAAUCCUUGCUGCAUGGUGGGGGUUGGAAAGCUUCGGCGGUUUUGGAUGGACUCGCGGCUUAUCAGCUUGUUGGUGGGGUAGUGGCUUACCAAGGCUUUGACGGGUAGCCGGCCUGAGAGGGCGACCGGCCACCUUGGGACUGAGAUACGGCCCAGACUGCUACGGGAGGCAGCAGUGGGGAAUAUUGCACAAUGGGCGGAAGCCUGAUGCAGCAACGCCGCGUGCGGGAUGACGGCCUUCGGGUUGAAGAACGCUUUCAGCAGGGGCGAAGCUUGUGGUGACGGUACCUGCAGAAGAAGCACCGGCUAACUACGUG